AGAGGGUGAGGGUCCCACAUCUCCUGCAGGACAGGCCCUAGCUACUGAGUCACAGAAACCCAGGGCCGAAGCAAAGUCCCAAUCCCAGAGAGGCUGGGGCACACCUACAACUGAAAGGAGGCUUAGAAAUCCUUCAGAGACCACCCUAUCGGUUCUCCUCCACCUGGACAGGAUGAGCCAGCAACACAGAAGGAAGAGGCCUUCCUCCGAAAGACAGGUUUCUAAGACAGCCACCGAUGGGUCCUACCUCCUCGUAUUCACAUCCUAUGUAAUCUCCUCCCCAGUGUGGGCUGGACCUGGUGACUUGCUUCCAGUGAAUAGAAUAUAGCAAAAGUGAUUGAUGUCACCUCCAAGAUUCAGCUAUAGAAGACUAUGACUAUGACUUUCCUCUUGGCUAGCAUUCUCGCUAACCCUUCCUGCUUGCUUGUACUGAGCUGCCCUAUGAAGAGGCCCAUGUAGGGUGGCCUGGGUGGGGGUGAUCUGUGGCCAACAGCCAGCAAGGAACUAAAUCCUGUUUACAACCACAUGAGCUUGGAAGGAGAUCCUUCCCCAGUAAAGCCAGGAGAUGAA
rnacentral:lncRNA from 1 species